rnacentral:rRNA from 1 species
ACACUCCUACGGGAGGCAGCAGUGGGGAAUUUUGGACAAUGGGCGAAAGCCUGAUCCAGCAAUGCCGCGUGAGUGAAGAAGGCCUUCGGGUUGUAAAGCUCUUUUGUCAGGGAAGAAACGGUGAGAGCUAAUAUCUCUUGCUAAUGACGGUACCUGAAGAAUAAGCACCGGCUAACUACGUGCCAGCAGCCGCGGUAAUACGUAGGGUGCAAGCGUUAAUCGGAAUUACUGGGCGUAAAGCGUGCGCAGGCGGUUUUGUAAGUCUGAUGUGAAAUCCCCGGGCUCAACCUGGGAAUUGCAUUGGAGACUGCAAGGCUAGAAUCUGGCAGAGGGGGGUAGAAUUCCACGUGUAGCAGUGAAAUGCGUAGAUAUGUGGAGGAACACCGAUGGCGAAGGCAGCCCCCUGGGUCAAGAUUGACGCUCAUGCACGAAAGCGUAGGGAGCAAACAGGAUUAGAUACCCGUGUAGUCCCAUG